AUUUGACUGAGCUCGUUUGGGUAAAACAGCCUGCCCAUUUGAACCCUAUGGACCCGUUGAAUAUUUGACUUGAGAAUAUCAUAAACCAUUCUGACUCAUUGACAAAAAAAAGUAGUAUAAGUAUUCCACACGGACCCAGAUUUAUUUUAGGGCUAAUGGUAUGGUUUGUUGCAAAAGGAACUGUUGUUUUGGCAGAACACACCUGCAGAUUUCCCCAUCGGACGACCACCAGACAACAACUGGUGUUUUUCAUAAGGGUUUAUACCAUGCUUCUUUUAAGGUGCCAGUUGUUUAUGGUGUUUUCCAAUUUAAGGUUGAAUAUCAGAGGCUUGGAUACACCAGCUUGUCACUAGCGAAACAGGUAAAACGCUAAAUAAUUACAAAACUUAUGAUCACACAUGGUAGGUAGUUAGAGAACGAUAUUCAAGUAUCCAACACCCUGCGACAUGAAUUCUGUACGUGAUUACGGCCCGUUCGCAGUCGUUAAACGGCUGCCUUUACGGCCGUAUAACGGCUGUGAACGGCCCAUAAACGCAACGCAGCGGUUUAACGGCUGCAAACGCAGCGGUUAUCAGCUACGUUUACGGCCCGUUCGCAGCCGUUAAACGACUGUGUUUAUGGAUGUAUAACGGUUACGAAUAGGCCGUAAACGCAAUAGUUAACCGCUGCGUUUGCAGCCGAAACUUUAGUAUACUCGUAUCCUCCUUUUAUUCUUUUGCAGGUAAUCUAUAUCAGGGUACACUCAAUGGAAGAUGGGGCAUGGCUGGGUCUAAAUGAAGCCCUACAUCUUUUUUUCUCAUUGCUGCUCACACUAUGUGUUGAGUUUGUAUAACCACUUAGUACCUUACUACUUUAGCUUCUCAUAACAACUUUAGCCCUACAUCCCGUUAUUCUUUUUUGUGCCCAAUAACUGUACACACACAUGUACUAAUAAACUCAUGUGCAGCUUGCAGAAGGGCUCUGUCUUAGAAAAGAAGUCAUGUCCUUUAGGUGACCGGACCCGAGCGUAAGAUGAACAUCUGGAUUAAGGCAUCAACAAUAUGAAGAGAGGCCAGAGAUGGUCCGACAAUUAAGUUGCGGCAGGUGCUUUUCGAUACAUAACAGGACCUCAAUGCAAAGCUUUCUCAUUUUGGGCUUGGGAAGGAUGAGCCUAUGGAAGAUCAAACCCAUGUACCAACACCGCUUAUGGAGACAUAUGGAUAUGCAACACUCGAGUAUGUCAUCAAUGGUGAGUGAGUAAGUCAUGCUUUUGUGUAAAAUGUGUGUAUCUAUACAUCUUAAAGCACAGGUGUCACAUUCUCAAGCCAUCCUUUUUAUUGGUUUCCCGCUCAUUUGUUUGGAUCCCCAUUUUGUCCUAUUUCAGACGAAACCUACCCGUUUCAUAAUUUUAUAAUACGUUUUUAUGCAUA